GGGACUAUAGUUAACAAUAACAUUUGAGUUGCAUUCAAAAAGUACUAUCAAUCGAAUAGUUAGCCUCA
rnacentral:tRNA from 2 species